AGAGUUUGAUCCUGGCUCAGGAUGAACGCUGGCGGCGUGCUUAACACAUGCAAGUCGAACGAACCUUCGGGUUAGUGGCGGACGGGUGAGUAACGCGUGGGAAUCUGCCCUCAGGAGGGGGAUAACGGUUGGAAACGGCCGCUAAUACCCCAUAUGCCGAGAGGUGAAAUGAAUUUCGCCUGAGGAUGAGCCCGCGUCUGAUUAGCUAGUUGGUGAGGUAAGAGCUCACCAAGGCAUCGAUCAGUAGCUGGUCUGAGAGGAUGAUCAGCCACACUGGGACUGAGACACGGCCCAGACUCCUACGGGAGGCAGCAGUGGGGAAUUUUCCGCAAUGGGCGAAAGCCUGACGGAGCAACGCCGCGUGAGGGAUGAAGGCCUCUGGGCUGUAAACCUCUUUUAUCAAGGAAGAAGAUCUGACGGUACUUGAUGAAUAAGCCACGGCUAAUUCCGUGCCAGCAGCCGCGGUAAUACGGGAGUGGCAAGCGUUAUCCGGAAUUAUUGGGCGUAAAGCGUCCGCAGGCGGCCCUUCAAGUCUGCUGUUAAAAAGUGGAGCUUAACUCCAUCAUGGCAGUGGAAACUGUUGGGCUUGAGUGUGGUAGGGGCAGAGGGAAUUCCCGGUGUAGCGGUGAAAUGCGUAGAUAUCGGGAAGAACACCAGUGGCGAAGGCGCUCUGCUGGGCCAUCACUGACGCUCAUGGACGAAAGCCAGGGGAGCGAAAGGGAUUAGAUACCCCUGUAGUCCUGGCCGUAAACGAUGAACACUAGGUGUCGGGGGAAUCGACCCCUCCGGUGUCGUAGCCAACGCGUUAAGUGUUCCGCCUGGGGAGUACGCACGCAAGUGUGAAACUCAAAGGAAUUGACGGGGGCCCGCACAAGCGGUGGAGUAUGUGGUUUAAUUCGAUGCAACGCGAAGAACCUUACCAGGGUUUGACAUCCUGCGAAUCUCUUGGAAACUUGAGAGUGCCUUCGGGAGCGCAGUGACAGGUGGUGCAUGGCUGUCGUCAGCUCGUGUCGUGAGAUGUUGGGUUAAGUCCCGCAACGAGCGCAACCCACGUCUUUAGUUGCCAGCAUUUAGUUGGGCACUCUAGAGAGACCGCCGGUGAUAAACCGGAGGAAGGUGUGGAUGACGUCAAGUCAUCAUGCCCCUUACAUCCUGGGCUACACACGUACUACAAUGCUACGGACAAAGGGCAGCAAGUUCGCGAGGACAAGCAAAUCCCAUAAACCGUGGCUCAGUUCAGAUCGUAGGCUGCAACUCGCCUACGUGAAGCAGGAAUCGCUAGUAAUCGCAGGUCAGCAUACUGCGGUGAAUACGUUCCCGGGCCUUGUACACACCGCCCGUCACACCAUGGAAGUUGGCCACGCCCGAAGCCGUUACUCCAACCCUUGUGGAGGAGGACGUCGAAGGUGGGGCUGAUGACUGGGGUGAAGUCGUAACAAGGUAGCCGUACCGGAAGGUGCGGCUGGAUCACCUCCUAA
rnacentral:rRNA from 1 species